GGGAAUUUUGCGCAAUGGGGGAAACCCUGACGCAGCAACGCCGCGUGGAGGAUGAAAUCCCCUGGGAUGUAAACUCCUUUCGAUCGGGAAGAUAAUGACGGUACCGAGAGAAGAAGCCCCGGCUAACUUCGUGCCAGCAGCCGCGGUAAUACGAGGGGGGCAAGCGUUGUUCGGAAUUAUUGGGCGUAAAGGGUGCGUAGGCGGUUUGAUAAGUUUGGUGUGAAAUCUAUGGGCUCAACCCAUAGCCUGCACCGAAAACUGUCGGGCUUGAGUAUGGGAGAGGUGAGUGGAAUUUCCGGUGUAGCGGUGAAAUGCGUAGAUAUCGGAAGGAACACCUGUGGCGAAAGCGGCUCACUGGACCAUUACUGACGCUGAUGCACGAAAGCUAGGGGAGCAAAC
rnacentral:rRNA from 1 species